rnacentral:tRNA from 1 species
GGCAGUGUAGCCUAGUGGUAAAGUGCUGGAUUCUCAGUCGGGAAGUCGUGGGUUCGAACCCCACCACCGGCA